UCUGUUGCCCUCGAGCGAGAAACAGUUGCCCAACUCUGUGCCCUCGUUCGCCGCCGCCGCCCUUCGUCCCCUCACCACCACCGCUAGAUCCCUUCGCCGCCGCUCGGUGCCGCCAGCCCCCGACCUCCUCCCCGGCUCCCGGCGCCGCCCGUCCUCCAUCUGCUCCCCCGAUCCCGGCUAAGCCCGGCCCCCACCUUCUCUCUCACUCUCGGCGGCGAUCCCCGUGGUGUCCCCGGAUCGGAGGCCGUCGAGGAUGUAGAGCGCCGGGAGCGCGGCGCCGACGAGGAACCCCCCAUGAUGUGCGCGGCGAGGAGGAGGCGCUCGGCGCCGACGAGCAGAUGCAGGCGCAGAUCGAGCGGGUACUGCCGCCGCGCACCGGCAAGUGCAGGUACCUGCCUGCCCGCCCGUUUCUUCCUCUCAACGCGAGACUGGAGGCUGAUCUUGGCGGUGAGGAGACGGUGGCGGCGCCGACGAACUGUCCCCCUUGGCACCGUUGCCGCUGGGCACCGAGACAAAGGAGUGCUGGAUGCCAACGCCUCGAGGCCUGCCUCAAGUACAGAUCAUCAGCGGCAAAUAUUCAAUCAACAUACGACCACUGAGGGGAUCCAUCGGUGUAUGAAUGAUGAAGGAGAAGAGCAAAGAACACAAAUCUUCCCCACGGCUAUUGAUUUUAUGCACAUCGGCUGCAUCAUGUGAUAUGGUAAACCAACAGAGGUAUGUGGAUAAUCCAAACUGCUUAUUUUUCGUCCGACACCGCCCCACCUUCAGUGACCUGAUUGCUAGCAAAAUGUCACAACAGGUUUGUUUCGAAGUAUCAGUUCAAAAUAUGGCGAUUGAAUAAAAAACACUAUCUUAUUUUUUAUCUCACGGAUCAUACUUUAAAGUUAAUAAUUUUUAUAAUGCUCCGUAAUAGAUUCGUGUUGGUUGUGUAAUUCUUGAGUGAGUUACAUGUUCUCUCCAUCACCCCCUUUAUUUUUUGCAAAUCAAUUGCCUUCUUCAUGUGUUUCAGCUGCUAGGACUGAAGGCCGAAGUAAUGUAUGUUUAAUCUCAGCAAUUUAGUUAUAAGUCUAAUUAAUUCAUACCAUCUCUGAAACAUUCAGUUCUAAUUGGUUGCAUACUUGCCAAAGAUCGUAUGACACAAUAGCCAUGGACGCCACAUCAGCUUGGGAACAUGGCCACAACAGAUUGGUAUCUUCUCUUCUGAAAUUGGUUGCAUACUUGCCAAAGGUCGCAUGACUCAGCAGCCAUGGACGCCACAUCUGCCUGGGAAUGUGGCCGCAACAGAUUGGUAUCUUCUUUUCUGAAAUCCAAUAGCAGCCGUCCAUUUGUUUGCUGAUAUGCCUGACUGAAUUUGCAAAGAGUUAUCAAGUCUGUAUUUGCGAGAGUUUCUCAUUGUCUGAUUGACGUGACUAUCAAGUAUUUGUUGGAUGGCAACUCUAAGCUGCAUGUUCAUUGGGAGAAUCAUGAUGAAUCUUUGAUGAACACUGUCAAAGAUGAAAAGGCGAAUUCUUCGAUUCCCCGGGCUGUCAGGGAUUUUGUACUUCCAGCAGGUUUUCUAGUUUCUUGUAGGUUCCUGCAUAAGAGGUCAUUAUUGCAGAGUUGGAGACUGACACUAUGUUUAUCAGUACAUGCUAUUGGAAUUCCCAACAAACUUGACAGGAUGGAUUAGUCACACGUUGGUUACAUCAAGUCUUCUAAAGUACUAACAGGAAUAUCCUGCCUUCACUGCAUCGGUGGAUCACGCGGAAUCUCUGGGCACAUGGAGCAUUGCCAAAACCAGCGCCAGGGUGGCGCUCAGCUGACCCCCCGACGUUGGUUCCACAAAAACACAUGGGGAGGGGAACUAUAUGUUACAAUCUGAAAAUGGCUAAGGAGACAUCAGAUCUACCUUCUUGGCUCGGAGGGUGUCAUAGGUGGCGCACAACUCCCCCCUAUCGACAGAAACACAUGGGGAGGGGAACAAAACGGAGAGCGGGGCGGUUGGCGGGGGACUCCUCGGCGGUCCGUGGGGAAAUACAAUGUGAAGAAGAGAGUGCGACAUGACAAAGGUAUUUACCUAGAUCCUUGAGAUGCUAUUCGUAUUGGCCUGAAUGCAGUUGAGUUCUGAAUCAUAAACAAGCUGGGAGAUUUGUCUUCCACAUAUUUUUAGUGCAUGCUCGGAGAACAAGAUAAGAGGAGAGGCUUGAAUCUUGAGAUGACAAGGGUAGUCACCUGCUGCGACUAAAGGAAGGAGGUCAAUGAAGCAAAAUGCACGAAAAGGAAGGAGCAGCGCCACAGGGACGAUGUUGUCGGCAGCGCUUUGGAAGGAUUCGCUCCAGAGAAGUUACGGUAGUCGGCCAUCGCCCAGGGGAAGCAGGGAGGAUGUCGUUCGAAACGCCUGGGUCUAGAGGAGUGUGUCCAGGUGGUGGCCGAGGAUGGCGACGAGCAAUUGGGUUGGGCAUUUAUCAACGUGAUGGCGUCGUUGCUCAAGACUUGAAAGGAGAAAAUAUUGGCAAAAAGUCCCUCAAAAUUUGUAGUCUGGGUGUAGAAGGUUUGGGGAUUUUGAGCCGGAUGGGCCAUUGAUGGUUGCGGUUGGCUUGGACAGGGAAUGUAGAGAUAGUAAGUGAAGAGGAGCAGGAGAACGAAGACGAAGAAGAAUAGUGGUUUAUAGGUAGAAAAAAAUUAAGAAUGUUGCUUAAUGUGCAUGAGGAUCCAAACAAUGUAUAUUUGACACGAUUAAAGUUGACUCAUGUCGAGCCUCGGGAUGGUGGUGGAGCGGUCAUGGUGGACGGUUAUUAUGCAAGAAUUUGUUAAACGCAUCAAAUAGAUAUUAAUUUGUAACAAAUUUUUAGUUUGAUCAUCGCACUAUAUGUAUGCAUUGUCAAAUUGCCUUUUAUUAACAGUUUACAAUGUAAGUGAAGUGGACUUAAAUUAUU